GACGGAGGGUGCAAGCGUUAUUCGGAAUCAUUGGGCGUAAAGGGCGUGCAGGCGGCCUAUCAAGUCAGGGGUGAAAUCCCGGGGCUCAACUCCGGAAGUGCCUCUGAUACUGGUUGGCUUGAGUUCGGGAGAGGGAAGCGGAAUUCCGGGUGUAGAGGUGAAAUUCGUAGAUAUCCGGAGGAACACCGGUGGCGAAGGCGGCUUCCUGGACCGAAACUGACGCUGAGACGCGAAAGCGUGGGGAGCAAACAGG
rnacentral:rRNA from 1 species